GCCAGCAGGCAUAUAACCCUGCAAAUCACAACUGGCAGCCCACUGAAGCUAAGCAGGUGUGAGCCUGACCAGUACCUUGAUUGGAGUCCUCCUGGAAAAAACUAAGGUUGCUGUUGGAA
rnacentral:rRNA from 1 species